rnacentral:rRNA from 1 species
GAUGAACGCUGGCGGCGUGCCUAAUACAUGCAAGUCGAGCGAACAGACGAGGAGCUUGCUCCUCUGACGUUAGCGGCGGACGGGUGAGUAACACGUGGAUAACCUACCUAUAAGACUGGGAUAACUUCGGGAAACCGGAGCUAAUACCGGAUAAUAUAUUGAACCGCAUGGUUCAAUAGUGAAAGACGGUUUUGCUGUCACUUAUAGAUGGAUCCGCGCCGCAUUAGCUAGUUGGUAAGUUAACGGCUUACCAAGGCAACGAUGCGUAGCCGACCUGAGAGGGUGAUCGGCCACACUGGAACUGAGACACGGUCCAGACUCCUACGGGAGGCAGCAGUAGGGAAUCUUCCGCAAUGGGCGAAAGCUUGACGGAGCAACGCCGCGUGAGUGAUGAAGGUCUUCGGAUCGUAAAACUCUGUUAUUAGGGAAGAACAAAUGUGUAAGUAACUAUGCACGUCUUGACGGUACCUAAUCAGAAAGCCACGGCUAACUACG